rnacentral:ncRNA from 1 species
GUAAUUCCAGCUCCAAUAGCGUAUAUUAAAGUUGCUGCGGUUAAAACGCUCGUAGUUGAAUUGUGGUCUUAGACAACAGUCCCCCUACAAAGGUGUGGCACGGUUGCUCGAGAUCUUCAUUCGUGGUUGCUGUUGUUGCUCUUCAUUGAGUGUCAAUGGUGCCUCGAGAUUUUACUUUGAAAAAAUUAGAGUGCUCAAAGCAGGUUGUGAUGCCUGAAUAAUGGUGCAUGGAAUAAUAGAAUACGAUCUCGGUUCUAUUUUGUUGGUUUUCGAACCGGAAAUAAUGAUUGAAAGGAACAGACGGGGGCAUUCGUAUUGCUGCGUUAGAGGUGAAAUUCUUGGAUCGCAGCCAGAUGAACAAUUUGCAAAAGCAUUUGCCAAGAAUGGUUUUCAUUAAAUCCAAGAAACAAAAGUUAAAGGUUCGAAAGGCGAUCAAAUACCGCCCCUAAUUUUCAAACGGUAAACUAUGCCCACCCCGCCGAUUCCCCCGAAAUUUCAUUUUAAAAACUCGGCGAACCACCUUACCGGGAAAACCAAAGUUGUUUCGGUUCCCGGGGGAAAAUAUUGUUUUGCAAAGCUGUAAUCUUUAAUGUAUUUGACUGAAAGGGUUCC